CAGCCAUGCCAUGCUGAAUAUAUCGGCUAUCUUUCGAUCACCGAAGUCAAGCAUCAUCGGGUGUGGUCAGUAUUUGGGAGGGUGACCAACUGGGAACACCGCGUA